AAUGAAGCAUGCCAACAAACCACAACUACUGAUUCAUUGGAUGAAUGCAACGGUUUCUUAUCUUUAUUCUCGCGUUUUCGCAGAAACAAAGUAAAAUACUAACAGUCGCCAAACAAACUGUCAGCACGCAGCAAAUAACAAUACCCGCUAUUUGACCAGGUUUUAAUUUAUCAGCUUCUGCAAUGUAAAAUCAUGCAUAUUAGAAAGUUAGCAUAACAUAAUUUCGAUCUGAUAAAUAUAACCAUAAUGCACAUUUUUUUUUUAUUUCAAUCAAAUCUUUUUUUUUU
rnacentral:lncRNA from 1 species